GAUGAACGCUGGCGGCGUGCCUAAUACAUGCAAGUCGAGCGAAUGGAUUAAGAGCUUGCUCUUAUGAAGUUAGCGGCGGACGGGUGAGUAACACGUGGGUAACCUGCCCAUAAGACUGGGAUAACUCCGGGAAACCGGGGCUAAUACCGGAUAACAUUUUGAACCGCAUGGUUCGAAAUUGAAAGGCGGCUUCGGCUGUCACUUAUGGAUGGACCCGCGUCGCAUUAGCUAGGUGGUGAGGUAACGGCUCACCAAGGCAACGAUGCGUAGCCGACCUGAGAGGGUGAUCGGCCACACUGGGACUGGGACACGGCCCAGACUCUUACGGGAGGCAGCAGUAGGGAAUCUUCCGCAAUGGACGAAAGUCUGACGGAGCAACGCCGCGUGAGUGAUGAAGGCUUUCGGGUCGUAAAACUCUGUUGUUAGGGAAGAACAAGUGCUAGUUGAAUAAGCUGGCACCUUGACGGUACCUAACCAGAAAGCCACGGCUAACUACGUGCCAGCCGCCGCAGUAA
rnacentral:rRNA from 1 species